rnacentral:rRNA from 1 species
AUCAACUUUCGAUGGUAGGAUAGAGGCCUACCAUGGUGGUAACGGGUAACGGGGUGUUAGGGCACGACACUGGAGAGGGAGCCUGAGAAACGGCUACCACAUCCAAGGAUGGCAGCAGGCGCGCAAAUUACCCAAUCCCGACACGGGGAGGUAGUGACAAUAAAUAACAAUACGGGGUUCUUUCGGAUUUCGUAAUUGGAAUGAGUACAAUUUAAAUCUCUUAACGAGGAACAAUUGGAGGGCAAGUCUGGUGCCAGCAGCCGCGGUAAUUCCAGCUCCAAUAGCGUAUAUUAAAGUUGCUGCAGUUAAAAAGCUCGUAGUUGAAUUUCGGGACCAAUAUGUCGGUCGUGCCUCGGUACGUACUGGCAUCGUUGGUUUCUCCCUUCUGACGAACCAUGAUGUCAUUUAUUUGGUGUCGUGGGGAAUCAGGACUGCUACUUUGAAAAAAUUAGAGUGUUUAAAGCAGGCUCACGCUUGAAUACAUUAGCAUGGGAUAAUGAAAUAGGACGUUUGAUUCUAUUUUGUUGGUUUCUAGGAUCGACGUAAUGAUUAAUAGGGAUAGUUGGGGGCAUUAGUAUUCAAUUGUCAGAGGUGAAAUUCUUGGAUUUAUUGAAGACUAACUACUGCGAAAGCAUUUGCCAAGGAUGUUUUCAUUAAUCAAGAACGAAAGUUAGGGGAUCGAAGACGAUCAGAUACCGUCGUAGUCUUAACCAUAAACUAUGCCGACUAGGGAUCGGAUGAUGUUAAUUUUUUAAUGACUCAUUCGGCGCCUUACGGGAAACCAAAGUGUUUGGGUUC